rnacentral:lncRNA from 1 species
AACGACAGUGUGUCCCUCAGUUCUAUCAUCUGUUGGAUUUUUCCAACUCUGGAAGAACGCUAACCAAGGAGCUAGCCAUGAUUUUAAUCUUAUAAAGGAAAACAGGACGUCAACACGGGCGAAUGAAAAGAAAAUAUAUCCUAAUAAUAAUCUCACUGUUAUUUAUCCCUGAGCUUUGACGGUUCAAAGCCACUCUCUGGCAAUCCUACUGCGUAGCUGUAAGUCCAACCCAAUCUCCAUACUUUUAGGUUUCCGAUGCUGUAAGAAAAUCUUCACUACAUUUAUGCAUUAUCGAAGUUAACAAUAAUGACUUUCAUUUCUGAGGAUCUCUUCAAACAUUUUUUUAUAUUUUUCAUAUUAUUAUGUAUGAUAAUUGUUUCUUUUAAACUUUUAUUUGGGCAUUUGUUACAUUUCAAAAUGAAUAAUAUAAGUUUAUUUUAAGGA